rnacentral:rRNA from 1 species
AUUGAACGCUGGCGGCAUGCCUUACACAUGCAAGUCGAACGGCAGCACGGGAGCAAUCCUGGUGGCGAGUGGCGAACGGGUGAGUAAAGUAUCGGAACGUGCCCAGUCGUGGGGGAUAACGUAGCGAAAGUUACGCUAAUACCGCAUACGAUCUAUGGAUGAAAGCGGGGGAUCGCAAGACCCCGCGCGAUUGGAGCGGCCGAUAUCAGAUUAGGUAGUUGGGGGGGUAAAGGCUCACCAAGCCGACGAUCUGUAGCUGUUCUGAGAGGACGACCAGCCACAGUGGGACUGAGACACGGCCCAGACUCCUACGGGAGGCAGCAGUGGGGAAUUUUGGACAAUGGGCGAAAGCCUGAUCCAGCCAUGCCGCGUGCAGGAUGAAGGCCUUCGGGUUGUAAACUGCUUUUGUACGGAACGAAAAGGUUUGGCCUAAUAAGCUGAGCUCAUGACGGUACCGUAAGAAUAAGCACCGGCUAACUACGUGCCAGCAGCCGCGGUAAAAC